UUGAAGAAAUGCUGGCAUGAGGUGUUGGA
rnacentral:piRNA from 1 species